UUAUCUGUGCUUUGUAUUGGACUUGCUAGAUCAGCAACAACAGCAUGAACCAAUCAAUGAUUCACUUCUUUAGAGAACCUUGGAUAGCUGAUCGGUGGUUUCAUGUACAUCAAGCACAUUGAUGACACCAAUGAUAAACAGGUUUAUCGUGUAUCUUCACGUAGUUGCUGUCCGCUGUGGUACUUUGUUGCAGCCUAUGCUGGUGAUAGAUCUUUCUGCAUCAAAUUCAAUUGGCCGUGCUGUUGUCGUGUUACCGUUAAAUGUUAAGAAGG